rnacentral:rRNA from 1 species
GAUGAACGCUGGCGGCGUGCCUAAUACAUGCAAGUCGAGCGAACAGAUGAGGAGCUUGCUCCUCUGACGUUAGCGGCGGACGGGUGAGUAACACGUGGAUAACCUACCUAUAAGACUGGGAUAACUACGGGAAACCGGAGCUAAUACCGGAUAAUAUAUUGAACCGCAUGGUUCAAUAGUGAAAGACGGUUUUGCUGUCACUUAUAGACGGAUCCGCGCCGCAUUAGCUAGUUGGUAAGGUAACGGCUUACCAAGGCAACGAUGCGUAGCCGACCUGAGAGGGUGAUCGGCCACACUGGAACUGAGACACGGUCCAGACUCAUAAGGGAGGCAGCAGUAGGGAAUCUUCCGCAAUGGGCGAAAGCCUGACGGAGAAACGCCGCGUGAGUGAUGAAGGUCUUCGGAUCGUAAAACUCUGUUAUUAGGGAAGAACAAAUGUGUAAGUAACUAUGCACGUCUUGACGGUACCUAAUCAGAAAGCCACGGCUAACUACGUG